rnacentral:rRNA from 1 species
CCAGACUCCUACGGGAGGCGGCAGUGGGGAAUAUUGCACAAUGGGGGAAACCCUGAUGCAGCAACGCCGCGUGAGUGAGGAAGUAUUUCGGUAUGUAAAGCUCUAUCAGCAGGGAAUAGAAAAGAAGGUACCUGAAAAAGAAGCCCCGGCUAACUACGUGCCAGCAGCCGCGGUAAUACGUAGGGGGCAAGCGUUAUCCGGAUUUACUGGGUGUAAAGGGAGCGUAGACGGCAGCGCAAGUCUGAAGUGAAAUGCCGGGGCUUAACCCCGGAACUGCUUUGGAAACUGAGCAGCUAGAGUGCAGGAGAGGUAAGUGGAAUUCCUAGUGUAGCGGUGAAAUGCGUAGAUAUUAGGAGGAACACCAGUGGCGAAGGCGGCCUGCUGGACGACAACUGACGGUGAGGCGCGAAAGCGUGGGGAGCAAACAGGAUUAGAUACCCCCGUACA